rnacentral:rRNA from 1 species
UACGUAGGGGGCGAGCGUUGUCCGGAAUUACUGGGCGUAAAGCGUGCGCAGGCGGUCUGUUAAGACCGAUGUGAAAUCCCCGGGCUUAACCUGGGAACUGCAUUGGUGACUGGCAGGCUUUGAGUGUGGCAGAGGGAGGUAGAAUUCCACGUGUAGCAGUGAAAUGCGUAGAGAUGUGGAGGAACACCGAUGGCGAAGGCAGCCCCCUGGGUUAACACUGACGCUCAGGCACGAAAGCGUGGGGAGCAAACAGG